CAUUGUCGUCUGCUACCAAGACGUUUACACUGCGACGUUUCGCAAACACCGAUUUCGCAGUUUAGUACGGACCCAAAGACUAAAAUGCGAAACAAGGUCUCAACUUUUGGGUCCGUUUCGCACAGCUGUUUCGCAUUUUAGGCGUUUCGCGUUUCGCGUUUCGCUUUCGCAGUUUAGGGACGCCCUUAUAUUUGUAUGAUCCAAUCAGUCAUACUCAAAUCAUUUUGAUUUGACAGUGUUCAAUAAAUUAUCAUUUUAAAACACUAUUUUAGUAUGGAGAUACAAUUCACAGGAAAGACAGCUUUGGUUACUGGUGCAGGGCAAGGAAUUGGAAGAGCCAUUGCAAAACGAUUGUUUGAACAUGGAGCUAAAGUUUAUGCGUUAUCGAAGACGUCUGAAAAUUUAAGAAAAUUACAAGAGGAAGCUCCUGGAAUCCUUACCAUUAUUGUAGACCUUGAAGACUGGGAGGCAACUCAAAAAGCUGUCAAAGAUCUGGGUCACAUUGAUUUGUUGGUCAAUAAUGCUGGAGUUGCAAUCUUGGAGUCCUUUUUGGAUAUCAAGAGUGAAAGUUUUGAUAAGGUCUUCAAUGUCAAUCUUAAAGCUGUUGUCAAUGUUUCUCAAACAGUAGUAAAGCAAAUGAUUGCUGAUAAAACAGGCGGAUCAAUUGUAAAUGUGUCAUCACAGGCUUCCCAGGCAGCUUUAAGAGAUCAUGCUAUUUACUGUAGCACUAAGUCUGCUCUUGACAUGCUAUCAAAAGUAAUGGCUCUUGAGUUAGGGCAACAUAAAAUUCGAGUAAACUGUGUGAAUCCGACAGUUGUGCUUACGGAAAUGGGAAAAAUGGGUUGGUCAGAUCCCUUAAAGUCAGGUCCUAUGCUUGCUGGAAUCCCCUUGGGUAGAUUUGCAGAGGUCGAAGAAAUAGUGGAUGCAGUUGUAUUUCUUCUUAGCGAUAGAGCUUCCAUGAUUCACGGAACGACUCUUCCGGUUGAUGGGGGAUUUUUGGCGUGUUGAAACUUGAAACGAAGAUUGAACAUGCGUUUCAACUUUUUUUCAAAUCUGGGACUUUUUAAUCGCGGUUAAAAGUUUAAACUGAAAACCAGACCGCAGACUAAGAGCUAUCACUGUGGCAGAACUGCAAAAUAACAAAAU